rnacentral:rRNA from 1 species
UACGAGAGGCCCAAACGUUAUUCGGAUUUACUGGGCUUAAAGAGUAUGUAGGCGGUUGCGUAAGUUCGGUGUGAAAUCUCCCGGCUUAACUGGGAGGGUGCGCCGAAAACUGCGUGGCUUGAGUGCGGGAGAGGAGAGCGGAAUUCCUGGUGUAGCGGUGAAAUGCGUAGAGAUCGGGAGGAACACCGAUGGCGAAGGCAGGUCUCUGGGCAUUAACUGACGCUGAGGAGCGAAAGCAUGGGGAGCGAACAGG